rnacentral:rRNA from 1 species
UGAGGAAUAUUGCACAAUGGGCGCAAGCCUGAUGCAGCAACGCCGCGUGCGGGACGACGGCCUUCGGGUUGUAAAACGCUUUUCUGAGGGAAGAGCGAGGACGGUAGCUUAGGCAUAAGUCCCGGCUAAAUACGUGCCAGCAGCCGCGGUAAAACGCAGGCGGCGAGCGGUGUCCGGAUUUACUGGGCGUAAAGCGCGCGCAGGUGGACGUGUAAGUGGGACGUGAAAGCUCCUGGCUUAACUGGGAGAGGUCGUUCGAUACUGCGGGGCUUGAGGUUGGGAGAGGGGUGUGGAAUUCCCGGUGUAGUGGUGGAAUGCGUAGAUAUCGGGAGGAACACCUGAGGCGAAGGCGGCACCCUGGCCCACACCUGACACUGAGGUGCGAAAGCGUGGGGAGUAAACAG